GGACGCUUAGCUCAGUUGGUAGAGCAGCUGACUCUUAAUCAGCGGGUCACAGGUUCGAACCCUGUAGCGUCUACCA
rnacentral:tRNA from 4 species